rnacentral:rRNA from 1 species
AUUGAACGCUGGCGGCAUGCCUUACACAUGCAAGUCGAACGGCAGCACGGGUGCUUGCACCUGGUGGCGAGUGGCGAACGGGUGAGUAAUACAUCGGAACGUACCUUAUCGUGGGGGAUAACGCAGCGAAAGCUGUGCUAAUACCGCAUACGCCCUGAGGGGGGAAAGCGGGGGAUCGAAAGACCUCGCGCGAUUAGAGCGGCCGAUGCCUGAUUAGCUUGUUGGUGGGGUAAAAGCCCACCAAGGCGACGAUCAGUAGCUGGUCUGAGAGGACGGUCAGCCACACUGGGACUGAGACACGGCCCAGACUCCUACGGGAGGCAGCAGUGGGGAAUUUUGGACAAUGGGGGCAACCCUGAUCCAGCAAUGCCGCGUGAGUGAAGAAGGCCUUCGGGUUGUAAAGCUCUUUUGUCAGGGAAGAAACACCGGCUCUAACACAGUCCGGGAAUGACGGUACCUGAAGAAUAAGCACCGGCUAACUACGUGCCAGCCGCCGC